CAAAAAUAAUUAAUAUUAAACCAACAAAAGAAAUCCCUAAAAGCCUAAAGAAAAGGGGGGAAAGAUGAGGCCGUUGCCGAUGGAAUUCGUGACGGACCCAGACGACCAAGGUUCAGCCAUGGAAGUCGACGAUGUUGACACACCGGAGAUCUUCGGCGAAGGUGUCGUCGCUUCCGACGAUUUUGAUGACUCCGAUAUCGACUAAAAAAACAAAGAAGAAUCGUUUCAAGUCCUCGGGUUCAACUACAUAAUACAAAUUCCACCUCUGCACUUUCCUUCAAAAUAAAGCUUCGAUUUGAUCUCUUUUAGUGAGACAAAUGGCUGAAAAUCUUAUGCAUGCUUUACAAUAUAGCAGCUAUGGCGGAGGCGCUGCUGCUUUGAAGGGACUUGAUUUUAUAACGCUGUGAAUUUUUGUGCUUUUUACAGCAUGUUGAAGUUCUGAUCCCAACUCCAAAUAAAGUGGGACGACCAUCCUGCAAUCAUGGCUGUGGGUGUUGUAGAUGGAACUUCAGAAGCCAUUUUCCAGACACUAAUGUCUCUUGGACCCUCAAGAUUAGAAUGGUACUUGUGUGGGUGUUUGAAUGCGGAAGCAUCCUUUGGCCUCUCAGCUUGAACACUGCUGAUAACUGUUUAUCGCAUUGCUUUUAUUUUGAUUUGAUCGGUUUUAUCAUUGUCCUGAUAUAUGCACCAACACAUUUGUGAGAUGUGGUGGUGGAUAUGUCAUAUCUCCAGUGACUGAAGGAAAACACUCUGUUGUGAAGCACAUGCUUGCAAUUGAUUGGAAAUUCUGGAAAUCUUAUCUUCGAACAUCUGCAGUCAGAUCUAUUACCAUCCGGAUGCUUGAGAGAGUUGCUUCUGUUAUGACAUUGUGUCAUCUAUUACCCUAAAAUCCAAGUGCAGAUAUAAUCUUAUUUAUCAAUUCAUUUAUUGUGUGUAUGUGUCUGUGUUACAAAUUUGUGUGAUCAUUGAGGUAUUAAGUUUCUAGGAAUCUAUAUCAUUUACUUGCAGCAUUAAGAGAAUUAUUCAAAGCAAAACAAGGAAACCAUCCUACUGCUGAUCUUUCAUCUGGAGAGUUGAUGCGGAAUGUUAGGUUGCAUCAAAGUGAAGAGGAUGGCAUAGUUGAUAGUGUACGGAAAUAGAGGCUGGAAAAACUAAGGAAAAUAUGAAUGAAGCAAUGGAAAGGGCAUCUUCAGAGCACUCAAGUCUGGUAGGUCUCAAUGAUGCUGCUGAUGAAUUCUUUGAUGUUCCAGAACCAAUAGACCACGAUCGAGCAGAAGAUGGAUGGUCUUCUGACUUUGGUCCUGAAGUAUAUUCUCAGAAAAUUUAGGGACCGCACGACUUGUGGUUGAUUUCGAUAGGUGGUGGACUGGUGAGGAAUCUGUGAAUGUUCUCUUAGAAGUCGCAGGCCAAGGAACACAUGCCCUAUGCCCUAUUUUCGUUUAAGGACCGCCAAGGAAAUUCUAAAACUGAAAGCUGAUUGAUUGGACAUGUAUGCCGGCUUUCAUCGACUACUUUCGAGGCCUUACUAGGAAUUGAAAUGGUGUGCAAAGAGAUUGCUUCUUCUGAUCUGAUUUUUUGAUAUAAAUACUGGACAAAGUAUGAAUAUUUUACUGCUGUUAGUAAAAUUGGAUUCUCUUCUUAAGAUCUUAGUUUCUUCACUUGUAUUAGACUCAACAAUGGCUUGCAUUGCAUUGGUGUUGAUUUUACCAAAAUCUCGAGGUUUACAAUUUUUAAUUUUUAUUAA